CGGGUGCUUCCUCCACCUGUGAAGGACUGGCCGGGGCUGAAGGAGCUCAGCAAGCAGCAGGGCCCCACCUGGAAGCAAGGCCGGGUGAGUGUACAGGGCCCCGCACUAGAAGGACCCACACCUGGGUUAAUGCGUUGCUGUCACUGACCUGAAAUGCUUCAUCCUUCGAGCGAGGGGUCCCCACGUUUUCAGUUUCACUGGCCUCAAACAAUAUUUGAGGCCUUGUUAUUCCUGCUGCUGUGGAAAGGAAUGCGGAUACGAGCACUUAAGGGGGCCGGCUGCUCCGUCUGCCUCUCCAUGCCGUGGACUCAGCACCAAGUUCCAGGAACAAAACGCACCACAGCAGGAACAGGCAGGCUCCGCUGCUGAAUUUUGUCCUUUUUCCUAAAUCGUCUGUUGUCUUCUAACGUGUUAAUGGGUUCAUGAGGUUCCCGCCACGCUUAAUUUCUUCUUUCUCCAACCAGGCCAUGGCCCUGCUAUUCCCUUCAGGUAGGAAAUGGCCUCCAUGAGAGCGUUCAGGUCUGAGCGCCCCGUUGUGUUCAGGAGCCUGCCGGCUGGAUGCAGCCCAUCACAGAAGCCUGUGAGGUCAUGUCCAUGGGUCCUGGGAGCUGAGCAGAAAGAGCUCUCUGCCUGAGGACGCUGUGUGUGUGGGAGCGUGAGCUGAAGUCCAGGGCAGCUUCACUGGGAGUGCCGCCGUCUCUGGACUUGGAGGACGCCUUUUCCACAGGACAUUGCUCCUGGUCAAGGCACUCACUUCACAGCCAAAGAGCAGCCAUGGGUCCCUCCCUGCUCAUGGAAUUCCCUGCUCUUACCAUGCUCCAGCCUGGAGCAGUGGGCUGGAUAGAGCCAGGGAAUGGCCUUUUGAUGGUGAUGGUACCUCCGGGGGCUGGGAGAGGUCUCCUGGGCUGCGCAUGUUCUGAAUCAGUGUCCAGCAUGUGCUGCUGUCUCUCCCGUAGCCAGGACUCACGGGUCCAGGAACCAAGGGGUGGAAAUGGAAGCGCGCCACUCGCCAUCACCCCUAGUGACCUACUAGCAAAUUUUUUUGCUUUCUGUUCCCAUGACUUUAUACUCUGCUGGCCUAGAAGUCUUACUCCAGAGGGAGAAGUGCUUCCACCAGGAGACACAACAAUGAUAUUAUUGUCCUGGAAGUUCAGCCUGCUGCCUGGCCGCAUUGGACUCCUCAUGUCUCUGAGUCAACAGGCUAAGAAGGGAAUUUCCAUCCUGGCUGCGGGUAUCAGUCCAGAUUAUCAAGGGGAAAUUGACCGCUGCUCCAUGGGGACGUAAGAAAGAGUGUGUCUACAAACAGGAGAUCCCGCAGGGUGUCUCCUAAUACUGCCAUGGGAAAUUACAACAACCCAAUCCAGACAGGACUACGAAUGGCCCAGACCCUUCAGGAAUGAAGGUUUGGGUCUCCCCACCAGAUAAAGAAGCAGGACCAACUGACGUGACUGCCGAGGGGAAAGGGAGCAUUGUAUGGGAGAGAAGAAGGCGGCUGUGAGCUCCAGGGGUGCCCUCCGGGCCCAUCACAGAAGCAAGGACUGUAAUUGUCA